rnacentral:rRNA from 1 species
CCCAGACAGCCAGGAUGUUGGCUUAGAAGCAGCCAUCAUUUAAAGAAAGCGUAAUAGCUCACUGGUCGAGUCGGCCUGCGCGGAAGAUGUAACGGGGCUAAACCAUGCACCGAAGCUGCGGCAGCGACGCUGAUGCGUUGUUGGGUAGGGGAGCGUUCUGUAAGCCUGUGAAGGUGGCCUGUGAGGGUUGCUGGAGGUAUCAGAAGUGCGAAUGCUGACAUAAGUAACGAUAAAGCGGGUGAAAAGCCCGCUCGCCGGAAGACCAAGGGUUCCUGUCCAACGUUAAUCGGGGCAGGGUGAGUCGACCCCUAAGGCGAGGCCGAAAGGCGUAGUCGAUGGGAAACGGGUUAAUAUUCCCGUACUUGGUGUUACUGCGAAGGGGGGACGGAGAAGGCUAUGUUGGCCGGGCGACGGUUGUCCCGGUUUAAGCGUGUAGGCUGGUUUUCCAGGCAAAUCCGGAAAAUCAAGGCUGAGGCGUGACGACGAGGCACUACGGUGCUGAAGCAACAAAUGCCCUGCUUCCAGGAAAAGCCUCUAAGCAUCAGGUAACAUCAAAUCGUACCCCAAACCGACACAGGUGGUCAGGUAGAGAAUACCAAGGCGCUUGA